UACGGAGGGUGCAAGCGUUAUCCGGAUUCACUGGGUUUAAAGGGUGCGUAGGUGGGCAGGUAAGUCAGUGGUGAAAUCUCCGGGCUUAACUCGGAAACUGCCAUUGAUACUAUCUGUCUUGAAUACCGUGGAGGUUAGCGGAAUAUGUCAUGUAGCGGUGAAAUGCUUAGAUAUGACAUAGAACACCAAUUGCGAAGGCAGCUGGCUAAACGAAUAUUGACACUGAUGCACGAAAGCGUGGGGAUCAAACAGG
rnacentral:rRNA from 1 species